GAACGAACGCUGGCGGCAGGCCUAACACAUGCAAGUCGAGCGGACCUUUCGGGGUCAGCGGCGGACGGGUGAGUAACGCGUGGGAAUAUGCCCUUCUCUACGGAAUAGUCCUGGGAAACUGGGGGUAAUACCGUAUACGCCCUUUGGGGGAAAGAUUUAUCGGGGAAGGAUUAGCCCGCGUUGGAUUAGGUAGUUGGUGGGGUAAUGGCCUACCAAGCCGACGAUCCAUAGCUGGUUUGAGAGGAUGAUCAGCCACACUGGGACUGAGACACGGCCCAGACUCCUACGGGAGGCAGCAGUGGGGAAUCUUAGACAAUGGGGGCAACCCUGAUCUAGCCAUGCCGCGUGAGUGAUGAAGGCCUUAGGGUUGUAAAGCUCUUUCAGCUGGAAAGAUAAUGACGGUACCAGCAGAAGAAGCCCCGGCUAACUCCGUG
rnacentral:rRNA from 1 species